GAGUUUGAUCAUGGCUCAGAUUGAACGCUGGCGGCAGGCUUAACACAUGCAAGUCGAGCGGAAACGAUGGUAGCUUGCUACCAGGCGUCGAGCGGCGGACGGGUGAGUAACGCUUAGGAAUCUGCCCAGUAGUGGGGGAUAGCCCGGGGAAACUCGGAUUAAUACCGCGUACGCCCUUUUGGGGAAAGCAGGGGAUCUUCGGACCUUGCGCUAUUGGAUGAGCCUAAGUCGGAUUAGCUGGUUGGUGGGGUAAAGGCCUACCAAGGCGACGAUCCGUAGCUGGUCUGAGAGGAUGAUCAGCCGCAUCGGGACUGAGACACGGCCCGAACUCCUACGGGAGGCAGCAGUGGGGAAUAUUGGACAAUGGGGGCAACCCUGAUCCAGCCAUGCCGCGUGUGUGAAGAAGGCUUUCGGGUUGUAAAGCACUUUCAGUGAGGAGGAAGGCCUUAAGGUUAAUACCCUUGAGGAUUGACGUCACUCACAGAAGAAGCACCGGCUAACUCCGUGCCAGCAGCCGCGGUA
rnacentral:rRNA from 1 species